rnacentral:rRNA from 1 species
CCUACGGGAGGCAGCAGUGAGGAAUAUUGGUCAAUGGGCGCGAGCCUGAACCAGCCAAGUCGCGUGAGGGAGGACGGCCCUACGGGUUGUAAACCUCUUUUGCCGGGGAGCAACGGGCGCCACGUGUGGCGUCCCUGAGAGUACCCGGAGAAAAAGCAUCGGCUAACUCCGUUCCAGCAGCCGCGGUCAUACGGAGGAUGCGAGCGUUAUCCGGAUUUAUUGGGUUUAAAGGGUGCGUAGGCGGACCGUUAAAUCAGUGGUAAAAGUUAGGGGCUCAACCCCUUCCCGCCAUUGAAACUGGCGUUCUUGAGUGGAAGAGAAGUAUGCGGAAUGCGUGGUGUAGCGGUGAAAUGCAUAGAUAUCACGCAGAACCCCGAUUGCGAAGGCAGCAUGCCGGCUUCCGACUGACGCUGAAGCACGAAAGCGUGGGGAUCGAACAGGAUUAGAUACCCCUGUAGGC